rnacentral:rRNA from 1 species
AGAGUUUGAUCUGGCUCAGGACGAACGCUGGCGGCGUGCUUAACACAUGCAAGUCGAACGCUCCUAGAGGUUGGAGAUUAGAGGUUAGAAGCUGGAUUUAAAGCCCGUGUUUCGGGCGGCGGGCUAAAAGGAAAGCCCGAGGUCUAAUUUCCGACUUCCAAUCUCCAACCUCCAGAAGAGAGUGGCGCACGGGUGAGUAACACGUGGGCAAUCUGCCCGGAAGACUGGGAUAACAGCGCGAAAGUGCUGCUAAUACCGGAUACCUUCACGAAGUCGCAUGACUUUGUGCAGAAAGUUUUUCGCUUCCGGAUGAGCCCGCGUCCCAUUAGCUAGUUGGUGAGGUAACGGCCCACCAAGGCGACGAUGGGUAGCUGGUCUGAGAGGACGAUCAGCCACACUGGAACUGAGACACGGUCCAGACUCCUACGGGAGGCAGCAGUGGGGAAUCUUGCGCAAUGGGCGAAAGCCUGACGCAGCAACGCCGCGUGAACGAUGAAGGCCUUCGGGUCGUAAAGUUCUGUCAAGGGGGACGAUAAUGACGGUACCCUUGGAGGAAGCCCCGGCUAACUACGUGCCAGCAGCCGCGGUAAUAC